rnacentral:rRNA from 1 species
AGUGAACGCUGGCGGCGUGCUUAACACAUGCAAGUCGAACGAGAACGGAUUAUAGCUUGCUAUAAUUGUCAGCUAAGUGGCGCACGGGUGAGUAAUGUAUAGGUAAUAUGCCUCUUACUAAGGGAUAACAAAUGGAAACGUUUGCUAAUACCUUAUACUCCUUAUUAACAUAAGUUAAUAAGGGAAAGAUUUAUUGGUAAGAGAUUAGCCUGUAUUGUAUCAGUUAGUUGGUGGGGUAAUGGCUUACCAAGACUAUGACACAUAACUGGUUUGAGAGGAUGAUCAGUCACACUGGAACUGAGACACGGUCCAGACCCCUACGGGAGGCAGCAGUGGGGAAUAUUGCACAAUGGACGAAAGUCUGAUGCAGCAACGCCGCGUGGAGGACGACACAUUUCGGUGCGUAAACUCCUUUUAUAUGAGAAGAUAAUGACGGUAUUAUAUGAAUAAGCACCGGCUAACUCCGUGCCAGCCGCCGCCGUAA